GAGGGAGCGAAAUUGUCAGACAGAACGACUUCCUGUUUCCCGGAAAGGAAGCCAUUUUUCUCACAUUGCAAAACAAGUUUUGUGUUGCAGAAGAUUUGCAGAAACAGGAUUUGAGAUGCCUCGGACGAAGCAGUCUCAGCGUUCCCAGGUGGCUAAGAAAAGAAUAGCAGACCGGAUGGAUGCUGUUCCAUCAGAGGCCCUGGCACCUCUUAAAAAAUUGCCAGGAUUAACUGAACGUUGUGUCUAUCACAACGUGCAAACAAACUCUGAACAAAAGUCUGAAUACAAGUCUGAAUACAAGUCUGAAUACAAGUCUGAAUACAAGUCUGAACAAAACCCUGAAAAAACCUUUGAAAACCCCCCUGAAAAAACCCCUGAAGAAAGUACUAAGAUAACUGUGAAUGAUGUUUCUGCUCUAUCUCCACAGACUUCUUACAUCAGUGGCUCUUUCCAUCAAGGAGAUUACCGUUUUGGCCGGAAUAGGGGAAGUCAAUGUGGUGCAAACAGUUUAACUGCAAUUAUGAUGUGUAAGAUGAAAAGUGUGUUGCAGUGGACGAGAAGUGACCUGAAUGCUGUUCUGAUCCAUGGAGAUGACCUGUACAGUGCCAUGAGAGACGCAGGGAAAAUCAACGAUCCUGAAUCCGGCUUCAUAGCUGUUCAUGAGCUACCAGACACAUACACACUGAAAGAUUGUCGGUUUUCAAUAAACUAUGGUGAAGCAUUGA